UACGGAGGGGGCUAGCGUUGUUCGGAAUUACUGGGCGUAAAGCGCGCGUAGGCGGCUUUGUAAGUUAGAGGUGAAAGCCCGGAGCUUAACUCCGGAACUGCCUUUAAGACUGCAUCGCUAGAAUCGUGGAGAGGGUAGUGGAAUUCCCGGUGUAGUGGUGAAAUGCGUAGAGAUGUGGAGGAACACCGAUGGCGAAGGCAGCCCCCUGGGCCGAUACUGACGCUCAGGCACGAAAGCGUGGGGAGCAAACAGG
rnacentral:rRNA from 1 species